rnacentral:rRNA from 1 species
UACGAAGGGGGCGAGCGUUGUUCGGAAUUACUGGGCGUAAAGGGCGCGUAGGCGGCGACUCAAGUUAGAUGUGAAAGUCCUGGGCUUAACCUGGGGACUGCAUUUGAUACUGGGUUGCUUGAAUUCGGGAGAGGAUAGCGGAAUUCCCAGUGUAGAGGUGAAAUUCGUAGAUAUUGGGAAGAACACCGGUGGCGAAGGCGGCUAUCUGGACCGAUACUGACGCUGAGGUGCGAAAGCGUGGGGAGCGAUCCGG